rnacentral:rRNA from 1 species
CCUACGGGAGGCAGCAGUGGGGAAUAUUGGACAAUGGGGGGAACCCUGAUCCAGCGACGCCGCGUGAGUGAAGAAGUAUUUCGGUAUGUAAAGCUCUAUCAGCAGGGAAGAAAAUGACGGUACCUUACUAAGCAGCCCCGGCUAAAUACGUGCCAGCCGCCGCGGUAAUACGUAGGGGGCCAGCGUUAUCCGGAUGUACUGGGUGUAAAGGGAGCGUAGACGGUGCAGCAAGUCUGAUGUGAAAGGUCGGGGCCCAACCCCGGGACUGCUUUGGAAACUGUUGAACUUGAGUACAGGAGAGGUAAGCGGAAUUCCUAGUGUAGCGGUGAAAUGCGUAGAUAUUAGGAGGAACACCAGUGGCGAAGGCGGCCUACUGGACUGUAACUGACGUUGAGGCUCGAAAGCGUGGGGAGCAAACAGGAUUAGAUACCCUUGUAGUC